rnacentral:rRNA from 1 species
CAUCCUCCAAGGCUAAAUACUCCUGACUGACCGAUAGUGAACCAGUACCGUGAGGGAAAGGCGAAAAGAACCCCGGCGAGGGGAGUGAAAAAGAACCUGAAACCGUGUACGUACAAGCAGUGGGAGCCCCACCACCAAAGCAUUCUCUGGUGUUGAAGGCCCUGCAAAGCAGCAUCGCGGUGGCGGAGCGUCGUUUGCGACGCCCAACACACAAAACAAGCGGUGAGUGCUUUGGGGUGGGGUGACUGCGUACCUUUUGUAUAAUGGGUCAGCGACUUAUAUUCUGUAGCAAGGUUAACCGUAUAGGGGAGCCGGAGGGAAACCGAGUCUUAACCGGGCGUUAAGUUGCAGGGUAUAGACCCGAAACCCGGUGAUCUAGCCAUGGGCAGGUUGAAGGUUGGGUAACACUAACUGGAGGACCGAACCGACUAAUGUUGAAAAAUUAGCGGAUGACCUGUGGCU